GUGGCGCACGGGUGCGUAACGCGUGGGAAUCUGCCCUGGGGUACGGAAUAACAGUGAGAAAUUACUGCUAAUACCGUAUGAUGACGUAAGUCCAAAGAUUUAUCGCCCUGGGAUGAGCCCGCGUAGGAUUAGCUAGUUGGUGGGGUAAAGGCCUACCAAGGCGACGAUCCUUAGCUGGUCUGAGAGGAUGAUCAGCCACACUGGGACUGAGACACGGCCCAGACUCCUACGGGAGGCAGCAGUGGGGAAUAUUGGACAAUGGGCGAAAGCCUGAUCCAGCAAUGCCGCGUGAGUGAUGAAGGCCUUAGGGUUGUAAAGCUCUUUUACCCGGGAAGAUAAUGACUGUACCGGGAGAAUAAGCCCCGGCUAACUCCGUG
rnacentral:rRNA from 1 species